AUUGAACGCUGGCGGCAGGCCUAACACAUGCAAGUCGAACGAGUGGCGGACGGGUGAGUAAUGUCUGGGAAACUGCCUGCUGGAUGGGGAUAACUACUGGAAACGGUAGCUAAUACCGCAUACCAUCGGGUGGGCCCAGAUGGGGUUAGCUAUUAGGUGGGGUAAAGGCUCACCUAGGCGACGAUCCCUUGCUGGUCUGAGAGGAUGAACAGCCACACUGGGACUGAGACACGGCCCACACUCCUACGGGAGGCAGCAGUGGGGAAUAGUGCACAAUGGGCGAAAGCCUGAUGCAGCCAUGCCGCGUGUAUGAAGAAGGCCCUAGGGUUGUAAAGUACUUUCAGUCGGGAGGCGUUACCUACAGAAGAAGCACCGGCUAACUCCGUGCCAGCCGCCGCGGUAAUUC
rnacentral:rRNA from 1 species